rnacentral:misc_RNA from 1 species
UCCGGUUUGUCACCGGCAGUCUCCCUAGAGUUCCCGGCCGAACCGCUGGCAACUAAUGGCAAGGGUUGCGCUCGUUGCGGGACUUAACCCAACAUCUCACGACACGAGCUGACGACAGCCAUGCAGCACCUGUGUUCAGGCUCCCUUUCGGGCACCCCUGCAUUUCUGCAGGGUUCCUGACAUGUCAAGGGUAGGUAAGGUUUUUCGCGUUGCAUCGAAUUAAACCACAUCAUCCACCGCUUGUGCGGACCCCCGUCAAUUUCUUUGAGUUUUAAUCUUGCGACCGUACUCCCCAGGCGGAUGACUUCACGCGUUAGCUGCGUUACUAAAGGAUUUAACUCCUCCAAAAACUAGUCAUCAUCGUUUAGGGCGUGGACUAC